ACACUAGCGUGUGGGAUACAUGUUGAUGAGGCGCCUGGGUCUGUGAGAAAGCUUCAGGCCAGGAAAGCAGCAGGAAGACGGUAGGGUAGGGUAGAGGACCCUGGGCUGAGCCUCUGGACCUCUCAGAGUGGCCCCAGUGCACCCAGGACACGCCCCUCCCCACCCACUGACCACCCACCAGCUGACCGCCCCUGGGGCACUGUCUUCCGCUCAAGUGGGAUGAAGCACGCCCUGCUGCCCUCUCCGUCUGCUGGACCUGACAACCGCUCCCCCUCAGCACAUCAUUCCAGCUCCCCCCAACCCCGAUGAUGUGGAUUCACACUGAUGUGUGGGAAGCCUGAACCUGAGGAUGAGGGUCAGGCCCAGCCAAGGCUCGACUGAAUAAACAUGGAGAGGACCCCUACCACAUGGCAGCCGUAGGCCUGGGGCCUGGCCUCUGCCGAGUUCUCCAGAUGCCACGAUGUCCCUGACAGAGAACAUCAACAUCACCGCUUUAACAGGAAAAUGGGCUAGUAGUGCCAAGAGGCUGGCUGAAGUCACAUAGGGCACACCCAGGGCAGUCCAGGACAGCCCAGGACAUCCCAGGACUCUCCAGGAC
ensembl:lncRNA